rnacentral:rRNA from 1 species
AAUCAACGCUGGCGGCGUGCCUCAGACAUGCAAGUCGAACGAUUAAAAGCUCUCUUCGGAGAGUGUAUAGAGUGGCGCACGGGUGAGUAACACGUAAGUAAUCUACCCUCGAGUGGGGAAUAACAACCGGAAACGGUUGCUAAUACCGCAUAAUGCAGCGGCACCGCAAGGUGACAGUUGUUAAAGAUUUAUCGCUUGAGGAGGAGCUUGCGGCAGAUUAGCUAGUUGGUAGGGUAACGGCUUACCAAGGCUACGAUCUGUAACCGGUCUAAGAGGACGGUCGGUCACAUUGACACUGAAUAACGGGUCAGACUCCUACGGGAGGCAGCAGUCGGGAAUUUUGGGCAAUGGGCGAAAGCCUGACCCAGCAACGCCGCGUGAAGGAUGAAGUAUUUCGGUAUGUAAACUUCGAAAGAAUAGGAAGAAUUAAUGACGGUACUAUUUAUAAGGUCCGGCUAACUACGUG